rnacentral:rRNA from 1 species
GAUGAACGCUGGCGGCGUGCCUAAUACAUGCAAGUAGAACGCUGAAGGAGGAGCUUGCUCUUCUGGAUGAGUUGCGAACGGGUGAGUAACGCGUAGGUAACCUGCCUGGUAGCGGGGGAUAACUAUUGGAAACGAUAGCUAAUACCGCAUGACAACAGUUAUUGCAUGAUAACUGUUUAAAAGGGGCAACUGCUCCACUACCAGAUGGACCUGCGUUGUAUUAGCUAGUUGGUGAGGUAACGGCUCACCAAGGCGACGAUACAUAGCCGACCUGAGAGGGUGAUCGGCCACACUGGGACUGAGACACGGCCCAGACUCCUACGGGAGGCAGCAGUAGGGAAUCUUCGGCAAUGGACGGAAGUCUGACCGAGCAACGCCGCGUGAGUGAAGAAGGUUUUCGGAUCGUAAAGCUCUGUUGUAGGAGAAGAACGAGUGUGAGAGUGGAAAGUUCACACUGUGACGGUAUCUUACCAGAAAGGGACGGCUAACUACGUG